GGAGUCUCCAGAAGCCCUGAAAGCUAAAGUUGCUGAGGCCAUGGAGGUGCUUAGAAGUGUUCAGCAACAGCAGCAGGUUAAUAAUCCAACUGAUCAUAUGGCCUCGCUGUCCCUAAAUGACUAAUCUUGUUUCUUAAGCGUUGCUGUUGCUAUUUUUGGAAUAUCUUUUCAACCUGUCUGGAGAGAGUUUUCAGAGCAGAACAAUUCUUGAAACGUUGUUUUGAGAGUAUUUUUGGGACGUUUCCCGAAUUUUUGCCCGUUACUCGAGUUCUUUUCUAGUUGAUAUUAAAUCUCAGUAUUGCAACUUAUAU
rnacentral:misc_RNA from 1 species